UUUAUUAUAAUAAAUGGAAUAACAUCUGCCCCGAGGAAAUAAAUUUAUUAUCCUUUAAAAUUACAAACAUCCUUAAAUAUUUCCUAAACUUAGAGCCAUUUGAUCAAGCUAGAAUACUAUGUACAACAAACCUUGAUACAACACAGUUUCUCAAAUAUCUAUUCUCUGUUUACAUGCAAAGCGUACAUAAAAGUUCAAAUGCUCCUGUCAUAGAUAGAAUUAAAGGUCAUUGUAGCACAUAAGCUGCCAUGUCUUUUGACCACAAAGAUGAUUUGUCUGGCCUGCUUGACUCCCUAGAUGAAGUGGAGGAUGAAUCCUUUGAGUGACCUCUCAGACCUUCAUCAGCAAUUAGAUCCAUGAAUUUUGAAAGUGACAAGGUGUCGAUAUUUCACCGUCAUUAACCUCAGCUAAGUUCAUUAGCAUCUUCACGACAGUCAACAUGGAUGUUUGAAGCCCUGGUAUACCCUGUGUUCAAAGAAGACCAAUCUUCAUGAAUAGGCAUGCCUCUUACCUAUGAUGUUCCCCAUCCAGAGAUGUACCACUAAGAUCAUUAGCUCCCCUUUCUUGUGCAAUUUCCAUGCCCACAACACAUUGUACAUGUAGAUCAAGAGAUACAUGCAUUUGCAGCAUCACAACUCAACUUCUAAGCCAACAAGAGCAAGAAAGUCUCCAAACCCCAAGCCUAUCUGUCCACAUAAUCCCCC
rnacentral:lncRNA from 1 species